AGAAACUGGGCCAGGGCGGCACGCCGCGGCAGAAGCUGAGUGUCCCUCUCAUGUUCACUUCUGAUGAUAACUUAUUUAAAUUCAGGAGAUCGCAAUGGGCCAUCAAGACUAUGAUGGAUGACAAGACUGACAAUUCAGGCAACAACACUCCCCGUUUAGUGCAAUUCUAUCUUCUUGGAAGAAGCUAUCUUGCAAGCUAAAUAGACUAAGAAAAGGUGAUUGGGACAUACUGUCGGUCGGCCUUAUCAUUGCCAUCGUCAUAGACCAUCCGCACAUGUGUGCCAUGGGCCAGCAUUGAUUUGUUGAGGAGACUGACGAGGAGACCAAGCUGAGGAUAGGAGUUGUUGAUUGUAUGAUGGAGAAGGCACAUGAGGGAAUGGUGA